UACGUAGGGUGCGAGCGUUAAUCGGAAUUACUGGGCGUAAAGCGUGCGCAGGCGGCUUCGCAAGUCAGACGUGAAAUCCCCGGGCUUAACCUGGGAAUGGCGUUUGAAACUACGGAGCUGGAGUGUGGCAGAGGGAGGUAGAAUUCCACGUGUAGCGGUGAAAUGCGUAGAUAUGUGGAGGAACACCGGUGGCGAAGGCGGCAUCCUGGACCAACACUGACGCUGAGGAGCGAAAGCCAGGGGAGCAAACGGG
rnacentral:rRNA from 1 species